GCGGAAGUGGCGGAACUGGCAGACGCGCAGGAUUCAGGUUCCUGUGCCCGCAAGGGCGUGGAGGUUCGAGUCCUCUCUUCCGCA
rnacentral:tRNA from 1 species